GGCCGGGCGACGGUUGUCCCGGUUUAAGCGUGUAGGCUGGUUUUCCAGGCAAAUCCGGAAAAUCAAGGCUGAGGCGUGACGACGAGGCACCACGGUGCUGAAGCAACAAAUGCCCUGCUUCCAGGAAAAGCCUCUAAGCAUCAGGUAACACGAAAUCGUACCCCAAACCGACACAGGUGGUCAGGUAGAGAAUACCAAGGCGCUUGAGAGAACUCGGGUGAAGGAACUAGGCAAAAUGGUGCCGUAACUUCGGGAGAAGGCACGCUGACACGUAGGUGAAGUGAUUUACUCAUGGAGCUGAAGUCAGUCGAAGAUACCAGCUGGCUGCAACUGUUUAUUAAAAACACAGCACUGUGCAAACACGAAAGUGGACGUAUACGGUGUGACGCCUGCCCGGUGCCGGAAGGUUAAUUGAUGGGGUUAUCCUCGCGGAGAAGCUCCUGAUCGAAGCCCCGGUAAACGGCGGCCGUAACUAUAACGGUCCUAAGGUAGCGAAAUUCCUUGUCGGGUAAGUUCCGACCUGCACGAAUGGCGUAAUGAUGGCCAGGCUGUCUCCACCCGAGACUCAGUGAAAUUGAACUCGCUGUGAAGAUGCAGUGUACCCGCGGCAAGACGGAAAGACCCCGUGAACCUUUACUAUAGCUUGACACUGAACAUUGAGCCUUGAUGUGUAGGAUAGGUGGGAGGCUUUGAAGCGUGGACGCCAGUCUGCGUGGAGCCAACCUUGAAAUACCACCCUUUAAUGUUUGAUGUUCUAACGUGGACCCGUUACCCGGGUUGCGGACAGUGUCUGGUGGGUAGUUUGACUGGGGCGGUCUCCUCCCAAAGAGUAACGGAGGAGCACGAAGGUUGGCUAAUCCUGGUCGGACAUCAGGAGGUUAGUGCAAUGGCAUAAGCCAGCUUGACUGCGAGCGUGACGGCGCGAGCAGGUGCGAAAGCAGGUCAUAGUGAUCCGGUGGUUCUGAAUGGAAGGGCCAUCGCUCAACGGAUAAAAGGUACUCCGGGGAUAACAGGCUGAUACCGCCCAAGAGUUCAUAUCGACGGCGGUGUUUGGCACCUCGAUGUCGGCUCAUCACAUCCUGGGGCUGAAGUAGGUCCCAAGGGUAUGGCUGUUCGCCAUUUAAAGUGGUACGCGAGCUGGGUUUAGAACGUCGUGAGACAGUUCGGUCCCUAUCUGCCGUGGGCGCUGGAGAACUGAGGGGGGCUGCUCCUAGUACGAGAGGACCGGAGUGGACGCAUCACUGGUGUUCGGGUUGUCAUGCCAAUGGCACUGCCCGGUAGCUAAAUGCGGAAGAGAUAAGUGCUGAAAGCAUCUAAGCACGAAACUUGCCCCGAGAUGAGUUCUCCCUGAGACCUUGAGUCUCCUGAAGGAACGUUGAAGACGACGACGUUGAUAGGCCGGGUGUGUAAGCGCAGCGAUGCGUUGAGCUAACCGGUACUAAUGAACCGUGAGGCUUAACCUUACAACGCCGAAGCUGUU
rnacentral:rRNA from 1 species